rnacentral:rRNA from 1 species
AGAUACCCGCGUAGUCCCAGCCGUAAACUAUGCGCGUUAGGUGUAUCGGUGACCACGAGUUACCGAGGUUGCCGAAGGGAAACCGUGAAACGUGCCGCCUGGGAAGUACGGUCGCAAGGCUGAAACUUAAGGAAUUGGCGGGGGAGCACAACAACGGGUGGAGCCUGCGGUUUAAUUGGACUCAACGCCGGACAACUCACCGGGGACGACAGCAAUAUGUAGGCCAGGCUGAAGACCUUGCCUGAAUCGCUG